CAGUCGCCGCGGUAAUACGUAGGGUGCAAGCGUUAUCCGGAAUUAUUGGGCGUAAAGAGCUCGUAGGCGGUUUGUCGCGUCUGCUGUGAAAACUGGAGGCUCAACCUCCAGCCUGCAGUGGGUACGGGCAGACUAGAGUGCGGUAGGGGAGAUUGGAAUUCCUGGUGUAGCAGUGGAAUGCGCAGAUAUCAGGAGGAACACCGAUGGCGAAGGCAGAUCUCUGGGCCGUAACUGACGCUGAGGAGCGAAAGCGUGGGGAGCGAACAGGAUUAGAGACCCCUGUAGUCCCUGUCUCUUAUAC
rnacentral:rRNA from 1 species